UACGGGGGGGGCAAGCGUUGUUCGGAAUUACUGGGCGUAAAGGGCUCGUAGGCGGCCAACUAAGUCAUACGUGAAAUCCCUCGGCUUAACCGGGGAACUGCGUCUGAUACUGGAUGGCUUGAGUUCGGGAGAGGGAUGCGGAAUUCCAGGUGUAGCGGUGAAAUGCGUAGAUAUCUGGAGGAACACCGGUGGCGAAGGCGGCAUCCUGGACCAACGCUGACGCUGAGGAGCGAAAGCCAGGGGAGCAAACGGG
rnacentral:rRNA from 1 species